GAAAGAAAGAAAGAAGAGGGUCAUUAAUUUCUCAAGAUAUGUCUAUGAAGGUCUCACUGUCACACAUGAAGGGAUGCAGCAUUUGGAUGACUUUCACCCCCCCAGUCUUUCCCUCAGACCUUAUGCAGCCUGCCUGCAAAGCCCUGCACAUACAUGAUGGAUAUUUAAGGCAUCUGUUCUGUACAGAGCUGUGUUUAUCUAACAGACACUCCGAAGCAAAGCACCCAGCCUUCAGAGGUUUGCCAUGGAAAACCUCCCCUCUACCUUAGGAGCACGGUAGGAAGGACACAAGGCAGCAUUGUUGUCCUCACUGCAGCCCAGGCUUGGCCCAGCUCCUGCCUGUGGCAGAGCCCAGCACUGAAAUUGCUGUUGCCAUCUUAGAGGUGAAAGCUCAUUAAUAACCGUGACCUGACUGUGAACUGCACCAGCAGUGCUUCGUUACAGACCUUCCCUUCUACAGCUCUAAUGACGGCAGGAUGCUGAAGAGAAGGUGUGAGCAGUGACCUGGAUUAAUUGCAACUCUAGCUGAAUUAACAAAUCUAUUUCCUGGAAUCAGAUGAGAAAUCCACUGCCUCACACACGUGGGGAGGGAGGUCUCAGCCCCUGGCAGGUAUUUCUCUGUGCUGGCUCUGUGACCACCCAGCCACCCUGUGAUGGAGGAAGGCUGGAGUCUCCUCCAUACAGAGGUGCAGCAGCAGUGAGUGGGGAUGGUGAAACAUCACUGUGUCCUUGGUUUGCUGGUCUUUGUACAAUCAGGAAGCUGGCCAGGGUGAAAUAAGGAUUUAAAAGGAAAAACGGAUCCCAAUCCCUAGCUGAUAUGGCAGAGUGGGUUUAUUGGUCUUUCAGAGGAGAACAGCUAAUCCAAGCCAGCUGAGAGCUUGACCCAUUAGCUUGUGCUUUAAAUCUGGGGUUUGAUCCGUAUUGGAAUGAAUGAGAAUUAGAGGCUGGCUCCCUCUGAGAACCCAGGUCCCCAUAAGGAGGAUAACCCCAGGCUGUGGCAGGGAGGUGACCUGAGAUUUCACCUUGCCAUGGUGCUGAGGGUGUGUGCAGAGCUUGCUGCCCACUGGAGAGGCACGAGCUGGGCCCCUCCAGGUGCUGCAUUACAGCACAUCAUAUCUUCCAUCCACUGAAACAUGGCAGCAGACCUGGCUGCUGAGCUCUCUGCUGCUGGGGUUUGUCUGCUCAGGCUGCUGCUGGUCCCUUUAAUUCCACAAGCUGUUUCCCACUUGGUCCAAGGAACCACUACAUCCCACCAUCAGCUGAGUGCCAUUUGCCUAGGCUAAAAAGAAGCCUCUCCUCCUGCUUUUGCCCUCUGCUGAAUGAAAGCAGAACCCAAGCUCUCAGAGUUUACGUCUCUAGCACCAUAUCUGCAGUGCUUAGCCCUUUUCUCAAAGCUCUUGCUCACUCUUUGGUUUCCUUUGCUAAACAGAUCUUGCUAAUUGCUUUCUUCCCUCGUUAUGCUGCCUGCUCCUUCUUGUGCCAUUCCCGUGAUGGUGGUUUGUGCACUUCCUUUCAGUACUGAACCAACUGCAGACUAGAUGCUGCUCCUCUGCUUUAGUUGAGGGCUGAUUUACAAGCUAACAGGGAGCAGGGCAAGGCUGCUCAGUGCAAUUUUCAUCCCUCCCUCUGUGCAGCAGGAUGGGAGGAGGAUUUGGGAGCACAGGUAUGCUGGGGCCAGCUGAGAGGCAGGCAGGUUUGGCCAGGGCCAUGGAGUAACUUUCCAGCAGACUUCUCUCCAGGCUGAAUAGCUGGUGGACUGAGUCACUUCAGAGUUUUCCAGUAUUCAGGACUGGGCUAUGUCCUAAUCAAAUACCUCCAUUUCCAGGCUGCUUGGUGCUAAGGAUCAUGGCAGCAUGGGGAAGAUGAGUCUCUCCAGGGUGCAGCCCCAGCUUUACACAGCUCAGCACUGCAGCUGCUUCCUGCACCAGCCACUUCCAUUGGAAGAGAACUUCCAUGCACUCGCUGAUCCCAAACCCACUGAAGCCCCCAGACCAUCUCCCACUGACUUUGGCUGCAAGCAACGGGAAGGCUGUGUGCAACAGGCUCUGCCUGCUUCCCUGUUUCUGUAGUUCUGCAGAACAGAACUGAUACAGGAAUCUGGGGCUCUGACCUUGGCUGCAGGACCCCCAAUUCAGCUGAGCAUGGACAUGAUGAAACGUAAGGGCAAUGAACUGUUUGGCUACAAGUAGCUUUGCACUGAAGUUUCUCAGAUCAAUGGCUCCGACUCCAGGAGCAGUCUCCUUACAUGGAUCAAGAUCGUUGAUUUCACUGAAACUUGGGCAAAGCUGCAGCAUCUACAGCUGGGACAGGGAUACUUCCUUGCCC